GUUUCUACAAAGGUCUUUGUUGUAGCAUAAACAGUGAGCUGUGCGUUUCCCGGUGAGUCGCAGUGUUCACAGUUCUUACAGUUCAUCUCCUUCCAGGUAGAACAGUGCGAUGUGAGUCUGCGGUGAACCCUGGGGGCCAAGGGGCCAACCCAACAGGCGAGGCCGCCUGCAGGGGGCGGUAGAGACCACGCGUGGACACGCAUCUGCAGCACAACAGGGAGUAAAAGUAGAAGACUCGCGUGGCCUGUUGUUGUGUUCAAUUCUAUUGGACAAACAUUUGCAAAUGAAGCAAACUCCUUUUUUCUUUCCUGCUGCAUGUGAGUGUUUGUUUAGUUCUCCAGCUGAUCAAAGAGAGGAAGGGAAAGGGGGAGAAAAAAAGAAGACAAAACUGUGAUGAGUUUUAAAAAAACAAAAUUCCCCUGUAAUCACGGUAACUCAACCAGGAUAUGAAAUGGGAAAUGUGGCACGCAUGCGGUUUUUUGCGGGAAAAACCCCAGGAGGCGAGGUUUGUCAAAACGCCCGCACACGGUCCCCGUGGACGCCGCCCGCCGGGCCGGGGCGUCGCGGCGGACAAUGAGCCGUGUUUCCCCGACACAGAGACUCUGUGUCCGCCGCCGCGGCCUCCACAUCCCGCGCGCUCCCGACGGAGGCGAGUGGCUUCGGGUUCGGCGCAGCACGUCCCCGCGAUCAAUCACCGCAGCGCUGCGUCCCCGAGGGUGGUGGAGAUGCGGGGCACCAUCGUGGGCCGACAGCCGUGGGCCCCGGGCACCGGGCCCCGGGCCGCGGGUCAGCAUCCGCCGGUAGCGAAUGAAAAGGAAAAGGAAAAAGAAAGAAGUGGAGAGAAAAGUCGUCAUCCGUCCCAUCUGGUUGACAUUAAGGCCGAGUCGGUCCUGAUGGCUCCUGCUGCUGGAGUGUCUGAGGCUUUGACGGCGGCCCUGUGUCGUGCGGCGCUCGGUGUCCGAGCCGUGCCAGGCGGCGUGUGUGGUCAACAGGCGACUGGGAAGCUGCAGGGGGGAGCGAGAGGGUCUACGGGUCGAGGCAAGAAGCCCCCUUUUCACUCCAAGUCAGUGCCUCCUCGCCAUGUAUCUGUUUGCUCGUCUUGUCUUUCCUUCCUUGUUCGUCUUGUGUAUUUCUGGAUCUGGAUCUGGCUGACCUUGAAUAACUCUCACCUGGAGUACGCAUCGCAUGUGCCUGUGUUGGGAUAGCGCCGCGUCCUGUAAAGAUGUAUUUUAAUCGACCCCUAGCCUUCCCGCUCACACACUUACACCUCAUCGUUCUCCCCUCCCUCCCUCCCUCCCUCCCUCCCUCUGUAGCCUAGGGGCAUAUGGUUUGACUGGGCAAGAGAUAAGAGAGAUGUGUCAGCCUGCGGUACUGAACAAACACAUCUUUCAUUUCUUCCUUUCUUCUCCCCUGCUUUGACUCCUCUUCCUCUGCCCCACUCCCUUCUCCUCUCCUCUCCCCUUUUUCUUCCUCCCCUCCUCUCCUCUUCCAGAUCUCCUCACCUCUUUAGUCUCCGUGACGGCUGGGUACAAUUAGGAGCAGAAAGC
ensembl:lncRNA